AACAUUCCUGUUUAAAAAUAGACUAUAGAGUAGGCAGAUCGUGCAUAUGCACUCACCAUGUUGUGAUGGAUGCAGAAACGAUCUUGCAGACACUCCACGGCACCAAAAGCCCAGCAGGAACCACAGUGACCCUGCCAUUGGUAACCAGUACAGGCUAGCUUGAGCAUCUUCAAUUGUUCAGUAAGCACUCGUGGAGCUAAAAAUGUAAGGUAGUGUGCAUAGACUUACUUGAUCUGCUCAUGAAAAUCAGCGUUUUCCAAGGUAUUGGAAAAAGAGGAGGAAAUGAAGCGGGUCAGUGUAAUUAAAACAAUGUACAACCGAUUCAUGGUCAUUGAGUUAUCUAGUUUAAUUUACCAAGUAUUUUCCCAAUUGUGCUGCAACCGGACCAUUUCGACCUGGCGUCGAACACCUUUGGGAGCUGCUCCGAUCUUAAAUGAGUUUUGGUGCGAACACCAGCCCGUAAACCUGGAGGCGU
rnacentral:lncRNA from 1 species